AACGAACGCUGGCGGCAGGCUUAACACAUGCAAGUCGAACGCACCGCAAGGUGAGUGGCAGACGGGUGAGUAACACGUGGGGAUCUGCCCAAUGGUACGGAGUAGCUCCGGGAAACUGGAAUUAAUACCGUAUGAGCCCGCCAGGGGAAAGAUUUAUCGCCAUUGGAUGAACCCGCGUCGGAUUAGCUAGUUGGUGUGGUAAAGGCGCACCAAGGCGACGAUCCGUAGCUGGUCGGAGAGGAUGAUCAGCCACACUGGGACUGAGACACGGCCCAGACUCCUACGGGAGGCAGCAGUGGGGAAUAUUGGACAAUGGGCGCAAGCCUGAUCCAGCCAUGCCGCGUGAGUGAUGAAGGCCUUAGGGUUGUAAAGCUCUUUCGCCGACGAAGAUAAUGACGGUAGUCGGAGAAGAAGCCCCGGCUAACUUCGUGCCAGCCGCCGCAGUAAAAC
rnacentral:rRNA from 1 species